rnacentral:ncRNA from 1 species
AUACUUGUUCCGUUGUUGAAUUUUUUUUUUAAAAAGUUUUAUUCUUGCUUUUUUAUUUGCUUGAAGAAUGAUUUAUAUAUAUUGUAAUAACUUAAUGUUUUUUGGUAGUAUUUAUUAUUGUACAAUUAAUUGUAUUUGGAUACAGUAAUUCUUUUAAUAUUGGUUAAAUGCGUGCCAGCUGCCGCGGUUAGACGUGAAAUAUAAGUGAAUUUUUUUAGUGAGAAGUUAAUAUAUGGUUUAUAAGGUAAUUAUGAUAAGUUAAAUUAUUAUGGUGAAAUUGUUUUUUGUUGUGUUUAAUUUUUUAUGAAGCUUUGAAAUUAAAAUUGUUAAACUAGGAUUAGAUACCCUAUUAUAAUUAAUGUAAAUAUUUGUACUGGAGUAAUAAUAGUAUUUCUUGAAACUCAAAGAAUUUGGCGGUUUUUUAGUCUUUUCAGGGGAAUCUGUUCUGUAAUUGAUAAUACACGUUUUGUUUAACUUAAUUUUGUGAUCAGUUUGUAUACCGCCGUCGUUAGAUUAUUUUUAUUUAAGAAUUAAAUUUUCUUGAAUUUUUAUUGAAUUAUAUGUCAGGUCAAGGUGCAGCUUAUGAUUAAGUAGAAAUGGAUUACAAUAAUAUUAAUUAUUAUGAAUAAUUAUUUUAGGUUAAUUUGAAGGUGGACUUGAUUGUAAUUAUAUUUUUAAUUUUUAUGUUGAUUUGAGCUCUAGAAUGUGUACAUAUCGCCCGUCACUCUCAUUAUUAAGAUGAGAUAAGUCGUAACAUAGUAGAUGUACCGGAAGGUGUAUCUAGAAUGUC